UCACUACUUGCGUAGGCAGUCUGGCUAGAGUCCCCAUCUUUACAUGCUGGUAACUAACCAAAGGGGUUGCGCUCGUUAUAGGACUUAACCUGACACCUCACGGCACGAGCUGACGACAACCAUGCAGCACCUUGUAAAUUGUCCGAAGAAAUACUUGUUUCCAAAUACGUCAAUCUACAUUUAAGCCUUGGUAAGGUUCCUCGCGUAUCAUCGAAUUAAACCACAUGCUCCACCGCUUGUGCGGGCCCCCGUCAAUUCCUUUGAGUUUCAUUCUUGCGAACGUACUCCCCAGGUGGGAUACUUAUCACUUUCGCUUAACCACUGAUCCUUGCGAACCAACAGCUAGUAUCCAUCGUUUACGGCGUGGACUAC
rnacentral:misc_RNA from 1 species